rnacentral:rRNA from 1 species
GACGAACGCUGGCGGCGUGCUUAACACAUGCAAGUCGAACGGAAAGGCCCUGCUUUUGUGGGGUGCUCGAGUGGCGAACGGGUGAGUAACACGUGAGUAACCUGCCCUUGACUUUGGGAUAACUUCAGGAAACUGGGGCUAAUACCGGAUAGGAGCUCCUGCUGCAUGGUGGGGGUUGGAAGGUUUCGGCGGUUGGGGAUGGACUCGCGGCUUAUCAGCUUGUUGGUGGGGUAGUGGCUUACCAUGGCUUUGACGGGUAGCCGGCCUGAGAGGGUGACCGGCCACAUUGGGACUGAGCUACGGCCCAGCCUCCUACGGGAGGCAGCAGUGGGGAAUAUUGCACAAUGGGCGGAAGCCUGAUGCAGCACCGCCGCGUGCGGGAUGACGGCCUUCGGGUUGUAAACCGCUUUCGCCUGUGACGAAGCGUGAGUGACGGUAAUGGGUAAAGAAGCACCGGCUAACUCCGUG